UACGAAGGGGGCUAGCGUUGCUCGGAAUGACUGGGCGUAAAGGGCGCGUAGGCGGCGGUCACAGUCAGAUGUGAAAUUCCUGGGCUUAACCUGGGGGCUGCAUUUGAUACGUGGUUGCUUGAGUGGGGAAGAGGGUCGUGGAAUUCCCAGUGUAGAGGUGAAAUUCGUAGAUAUUGGGAAGAACACCGGUGGCGAAGGCGGCGACCUGGUCCAUUACUGACGCUGAGGCGCGACAGCGUGGGGGAGCAAACAGGAUUA
rnacentral:rRNA from 1 species